ACAAAUCUGAAGGGUAAAUAGAAACCACUUACAAUCAUUCUCACUCCUCCUCACGUUGGGUAAAACGUUGUAAAUCCUAUCUCGUUCCUCUUGAGACCUCAAUCAUCUCUUGCUCUGCCUUCAGAUUCAAAUUCUCGAUUUCACUCUCCACUGCGGUAGGCCCUCCGUUGCUUCUGGCUUCACUACAAAAAAAGGGUUUAAAAUGUCAUUGAUAUUACGGCGGUUCUAAUAUCCGAACAUUAUGACAUUUUUGGUUGCUGCCAUAAUUACCUUUGUGUUUGGUGGUGGUUCUGGUGAUUAUGGCAGUUUUGAACCACUGUUUUCACACGUAUAUAAAAUAAAAAAACUGCUCGUUGUUGCUGCCAAUGCUUGCCGAGUUAGCUAUCGUCAUUGUCACCGUCGAUGUGUAGGUAGGCCCUCCGUUGCUCCUUGCUUUGUAGUCAUCGCAGAACCGCCUCCGAUCUCGGUCAGGCAUCGUCUCUGUCACGACAAACGCGAACGUCACUACUGAUGACCCCACGAGAAAAGCGAGUUUGCUGGACUCAUCAAAAGAUGUUCUGAUUUCUCUAUUAUUGUUGCAAUCUGCUACUUUCUUCGUAAUUGUUUCUGAGACAUGAGUUCAUCAGAGGAACAAGGCGUUGGAGCACAUUGAACACUAUAUGCUUGACGGAAUUGUUUACUUUGCAGAGAUAAUGUGAACUCGCUUGAGUUGUUCGACACCUUGAAAGACAUCAAGUAUAAAACAAUAUAAUCUAAUUUCUUUCGCACCAUGAUUUUUAUGUGGUUUUUUUUAUUAUAUUGAUGUGCUUGUGAUCCGUGGCAGUUGCAAUUAUAUAAUGAAGGUUGAGUCUUUGUUGAAUUUUGUUAAUUUUCUUUCUUCAAUCAUCAUGAUUUGUAUAUGAGUUGUUAACAUGUUAUUUUUUGUUACUAAUAUAUCACUAGUCAUUCCAAAGAAAAGUUGAAGAAUGAUAAGAGAUUAAAGACAAAUGAUGAAUAACGCAUAUGCAUUUUCUGAACCAACUAGAUAGAUAUCUUCCUCAUUUUUAACAAACAUGCUAAUUCAUUUUAUCUUGGUUGU